rnacentral:rRNA from 1 species
GACAGAGGGUGCAAACGUUGUUCGGAAUUACUGGGCGUAAAGCACGUGUAGGCGGCCCUGCAAGUCGGAUGUGAAAUCCCACGGCUCAACCGUGGAAGUGCAUUCGAAACUGCAGGGCUAGAGUCCUGGAGAGGAAGGUGGAAUGCUUGGUGUAGAGGUGAAAUUCGUAGAUAUCAAGCGGAACACCGGUGGCGAAGGCGGCCUUCUGGACAGUGACUGACGCUGAGACGCGAAAGCGUGGGGAGCAAACAGG